GUUGAGCGCGGUACUACCAGGGACGUGGUGGGGAUCGAACUCGGAACCACUCGUUUAUGAAGCGAGCGCUCUACCACUACACCACUACCGCAUUUUUGUAUAGCAUUAUGUAAAAAUGGUUACAGCAGUUUCUGCUUUGGUUUUAGGCAAGAUGGAAAGAAAUAGUUUAAUAUGUUUCUAUCUGCAAUCUAGGAAGAUUAUGCCAAUAGUUAUUUAUAUUAUUACAAAUUAACAAUAUUAACACAAAGACACAUUAUAACACUCAAUAUGGAAAACAUGCAAGUUUUUCAGGAUCUGCUGCAUAAUUUAUUGGAACACUAUUUAACAUUAAAGUAUGUAAGAAUCAGCUAAUUAAUAAUAAUGCCGAUGUUGUCAGCAUAUUUGUUGUAAAUCUAAAUGGAUUAUUAUGAUGGAAUAAUGAGGAAAUCUUACUAAAUGUUUCAACAAUUAUUAACUCAUUGAAAGAAAUGGGUCCGAAAAAGAAUAAAAAUGCGCAUAUAAGUGAGAGUGUCAGACGAGCAUUAUAUCUGUUAACAAACCCAAUUUCACAGCUACCAAAUACACAGCUUCCAACCAAUGGUAGUAUUUUAAGAUAUUAUCAAUAUCUAAUUUCAAGUAAAAAGAAAAGAUUUAUCAAAACACAAAUUAACAUGGCCUGUAAGAAGCAAAAAGGAACAAGAAACUUGGUAUGCAAAGAUGGUGUUGAAAUCUUCAAGUUGCAUGGCUCAAGUGUUAUUGUGGAUGGAUAUUUUGCAAGUACUCAUUUGCAAUGUUUUACUCAAUUGAAGGUGCAAAAUAUUCUUUAAAUGAAGUAGUGUUUAAUGACACUCCAGAAUCAGAUACGUGCUCUAACUAGUGAAGGAAAAGGAUUAGCAGCUUAUUUGACAGGAACAACAAAUACUCUUGAAAGCAGGAUAUAGGCACUAGACAUGGUAUAGGGCACAGCCACAGACAUGAUUUUUUUGCACCCUCACCUCCUCAAUUACAUGUUCAUGGUAAAACAGAGAUUUUUAUUGAGUGGGAUCCUCCUAAAAAUCUUCUUGGCAGAUUAAAUUAUUAUGAACUUAGAAUGGAUAACAUGGUAAUAUAUAGAGGAAUUGACCGCUGUUUUACUGCGCAAGCUCUUCAGCCAACUAAAGUUUAUAGCUUUACAGUUUCAGCUUGGAUGAGUGAGGGUAGAUGCGAAAGUUUACCCACGUCGAAUCAGCAAGCAAUCUACAUCAUCGUCUAUUUUAAAAAGAAGAAUCUCUAUCAAAGAGUAAUUUGAAUCGCGAUCCAACGAAUUGUUAGUAUGCGACUAUAUGCAACUUGUAAAGUUAAAAAAUUUUAAGUAAAAAUAAAAAUGACAAAAGUGUAAUUGUUAAA
rnacentral:misc_RNA from 1 species